CAACAGGAAUUAAUCAACCUCACCUUCAAGGUGUACAAUAAUAGAGAGGAGGCAGCCAGAUGGCAACGCAUUUCUGAGUUACAAUUACUUGCCUCUGCUGUCAGAGAAACCCCAGCCACAUCUCCAGCACACAAGAACUUAAACACCUGAACCACAGCUGCCAGGGUUUCCUCCACGACCUCCUCCCCCAGGAGCUUGCUUCAAGUGCUGGAAAUCUGGCCACAGGGCCAAGGAAUGCCCACAGCCUGGGAUUCCUCCUAAGCUGUGUCCCAUCUGUGCAGGACCCCACUGAAAAUCGUACUGUCCAACUCACCUGGCAGCCACUUCCAGAGUCCCUGGAACUCUGGCCCAAGGCUCUGUGACUGACUCCUUCCCAGAUCUUCUCAGCUUAGCAGCUGAAGACUGACGCUGCCCAAUCGCCUCAGAAGCCCCCUGGACCAUCACAGACGCCAAGCUUCAGGUCCGGGCUUUAGGUAGAUAAGGGAACUUCAGAGAACAACUUCAUCCUGUGUUUUGGGAGACACGGAGGACUGAGCGAUGAGAAGUAGGUCAUCCUUUCCCCAUGGCUGCAUAAAAUAGAUUGAAUCAAAUGGAGCCCAUCAUGCUGGCUGCUUCUCUCCGCUGGGGCCAGGAGCAGCCUGACUGCAGAGUCAGCUGAAGACAGACAGCAGUCAGAGUGCUGGCCUUCUCCUUCCAAAAACACAGCCGUUCAAGUUCACAGAGACUGAAGAAUACGAUAAACACAGAUAAACGUGCUUGACGGACAGACAACCGGGCAGUGAUCUGCUGGGUUCAGCCAAUGUGAUGAGCAGAAGUGGGAAGAAAUCAGUCUCCUGUGCGGAUAGAAUCAGGAAACCCGUCUAAUCCCACUCUUCUCCAUUCCAUUCUCCAUACCGAAACCAGUGUCAUCUUCAAUGAGAUAAAGCAUAUCUAUAUCACACCCCUGUUUACAAAAAACCAUCACUACUGUCUCCGCUGCAUUUGUCUUAAUCGCAUAAUCCGGCUCCUAGUUCUUGGGCCAGUUUUACCAUGUGCCAGUUCCCCCGAACCAGUUUCUCCCAUUGGAAGGUUUUGUCUCUCUGCACAGCUCUGACCUCUGCCUGUGUUGCUCUUUCCCCAGAGCCUUGCCUGGCUGACUUCUACUCCUCCCUCAUGUGGCAGGAAAUCUCACCUUUGCAGAAAGACCUUCCAUGCCAACCUACACAGCAAAGGUCUUCUCCCAGGCCAUGCCCCUUUCAACUCUCAGCUCCUCACUUGUUUUCAUCAUAACAAUUACCCCAAAUGAUAAUGA
rnacentral:lncRNA from 1 species